AGUUGGUGGAGCGAUUUGUCUGGUUAAUUCCGAUAACGAACGAGACUCUAACCUGCUAAAUAGUUACGCGACCUUUUCGGUCGGCGUUAAGAAACUUCUUAGAGGAACUAGUGGCGUUUAGCCACACGAAAUUGAGCAAUAACAGG
rnacentral:rRNA from 1 species